rnacentral:tRNA from 1 species
GGGCGAUUUACUCAGAGGUAGAGUGUUCCUUUCACACGGUAGAAGUCGGAGGUUCGAAUCCUCUAUCGCCCA